CUGCAGCGCCAACCGUGGUUGACUGCACAACCACGGUUGAGUUUCGACCGAGCUCCUCAACCACGGUCGGGUCAACUGAAAAGCAAGAUGGCGGACUCCACUUCAGCUACUAUGCCAUGACGAUGCACUUGAUAAACACCUGGGAAGACAGUGUAGCCGUAUCGGGGACCAAAGAGGCCAGAAAAGAAACGCCGCCGAUUACGACCGCGUCGAGACAGCUACUGCGGUUUUCGUCGGGAAGCAAGUGCGGGUUAAAAUAGAAAACCUGACGAUGGAAUACAGCUUCACCUAUGAAAACUACAGCCACACUGCACGGUUUCGCACUGCUACAAAACGACUACUUCAGAAAGAGUGCUGUCAUGAUUGGUGAGCAUAACCACA